rnacentral:lncRNA from 1 species
GAAGUCUAAUCCUAAACAUCUUAAGAUUUGGGAUUAUCCUGCUUAUGUCAAAAAUAUUUUUGGACAUAAGCUUAGUGCUAGAUCAGACAAAUGAAGGUUUAUAGGAUAUCCUAAGAAAACUAAUGAAUACUACUUAUACCACCUUACUGAACAAAAGGUAUUUGUUAGUAGGCACGCUAUUUUCUUGAAAAAUAAAUUCAUCCAAGAAGGAGGCAGU